rnacentral:rRNA from 1 species
UACAGAGGUCUCAAGCGUUGUUCGGAUUCAUUGGGCGUAAAGGGUGCGUAGGUGGCGCCGUAAGUCAGGUGUGAAAUUUCGGAGCUUAACUCCGAAACUGCAUUUGAUACUGCGGUGCUUGAGGACUGGAGAGGAGACUGGAAUUUACGGUGUAGCAGUGAAAUGCGUAGAGAUCGUAAGGAAGACCAGUGGCGAAGGCGGGUCUCUGGACAGUUCCUGACACUGAGGCAACGGAAGGCCCAGGGGAGCAAACGGG